GAUUUCUGGUGUGGUGCGCCGAGCCCGCGACCGUUUAGGUCGUGAGUGCUUGCUGUGCGCCUACCAUCCUUCUGGAGAGAACUAUCUGCCCUUAACUGGAACGGGUAGUUUCGAUCCGGAUCGUUUACUUUGAAAAAAUUAGAGUGUUUAAAGCAGGCGUUAGCUAUGAAUACAUUAGCAUGGAAUAAUAAGAUAGGACUUUGGUUCUAUUUUGUUGGUUUCUAGGACUGAAGUAAUGAUUGAUAGGGACAGUUGGGGGUGCUAGUAUUUAACGGCCAGAGGUGAAAUUCUUGGAUUCGUUAAAGACUAACUUAUGCGAAAGCAUU
rnacentral:rRNA from 2 species